AUUUCACAACUAUAUAUUUUAUUUCACAAUAAUCAAUCAUAGUUCAUAACACAACAAUACAUAAAUUUAAUUAAAUUUAAUUCCAUAGAUCAUAAUAAUAAUUAAUUAAAAUUAAAAAUACAAUCCUCGAAUAAUCAUUACAAUAAGUCAUAACUACGAAAUAUUAAUAUAACAAAUCAUAGGUCACAACUUACAAGUUACAACUACAAAACACGAACUACGACCAAUUGACGAAUAACAAGCAUGAAAAAAACAUUUAUUAAUCACAAGUUCACAACUAUGAAUAUGGGAAACGAGCAAGGUUAAUUCUAUCUCGGCUGGUGGCGAGCUAAACAAUUUGACACGUGGCGAUGUAAACCCAAGGUGCCAUGGCUGUUUGAAUAAAUAACUUCUCGAUGACAAUAGUUGCACCUCAAGAUCAUCCGCUUCUAAGGACGAUGCAAACUAUUAUCUAUUAUUUCCUCCCUUAUUGCAGUAAAAUUUUGAAAAAGCUCAUUUAAAAAAUGACUUUUGGGCUGAUUUAGCCUAGCGUUUUGUUGAGGUCCAACUACAUCAACACCGUAUUCUUGAGGGUGUUGAGGUUUUUCUGCAUUCAUAUUAUGUUGCUGCGGAUUCAUAAUGAUUUUGGCUUUUAGAAUAUUGGAAAGUUUGAGGAAAAAGAAAAAGAAUAAGAAUUGUGAAGCAUCAUAGCAUAAUGGCGUGUAUAUAUAAUAUUAGAUAGUAAUAAAAAGACAAAAAUUACUGUACAUAAUGAAACUUGAAUUGACUGCACUGCAAAUCUGUAAUCUGCAUGUCUGCAUGUGCACUAUAUGACAACUACCGUGUUGAAAAUUUGAGUUGAGAAUUUAAAUUCAAAGAAAUAAAAUACUCUACAUAAUGAAUGCAAGCUCCUCCCGUAUUACUAGUUUACUAUUAUCAUAUUAUCUCAUCAACACACUUGACACUUGUGAUAGGAUUUAUUAACAUUGUGAUAGUUGCGUGAUUCUCUUGUGACAAUGAACCAUAAUUUUUUUUUAAUUUAAUAUGUUGUUUUGAAAAAAAAAUUAAUUACUAAAAUUA
rnacentral:lncRNA from 1 species